ACAGUAACAUAUGUCAAAUAGCUGUCACGGUACCGUGACAUUUCGAAAAAAUGGGUCGAGGUUUGGGAGAAAUGUUUAUUGUUUUUGUAAAUAAUUACAAACAAUAUUAAUCGCCCCGCCGAAUGUAAACCCGUAAAAGAAUCCCGAAUUUGUUUUAAUGUUAAAUAGCGUUAAACAAUGUAAGCGACUAAUGAACGACGUGAAAUCGAGCAGUGGCUCCUCGCAAAGCCAACCGUUUUACGCCCUAAAGGACCCACCACCGGUAUUUUUUCUGAUAAUGCGAUUCAACUUUAAAAUCGCACUAAUAUUCCUAGUGUCCAUAUCAGUUUUUACAAUACUGGUCCUCUAUUUGAUGUGUAAUAAAGAAGCUCCCGAACUAAGUGCACAGGGGCCCAACAUAAAAGUAUUCGAGGUAAAAAGUACGGAAGAAAUCGACUGUGAUAUUAACGGGCAGUAUGUUAUCGGUUGUAAAAAGGAGGGCUCAGAAGUAUAUUUACCUUUUUCCUUCUUGCAUAGAUAUUUUGAGAUUUAUGGAAAAUUGAAUACGAACAAUGGUUUGCCAAGGUUCGAAUGGUCACACAGCUAUGGAAAAAUAUAUCGUCCUAAAACCAAACAUGACCCCCGAGGGGUCUUUAUGUACUUUGAAAACUAUAAUGUUGAAUUAAGGGACAGGGUCAAAUGCGUUAGCGCAACAGAUGGUGUGCCUGUUUCAACCCAGUGGGAGAGCCAAGGGUAUUAUUACCCCACCCAGAUCGCUCAGUUCGGCUUGUCACAUUAUUCAAAGAAUUUAACUGAGCCUGAACCUAGAACAGUUGUCUUGGAGGAUGCCGAAAAAGAACUGGCCAGCUGGAUUGUGCCAGAGACGGCUCACUUGCAAAAGGUUUUCAAUGACAAAUUUGACACUCAAAUAUUGGAGUUUAGGACCAGUGAAAACUAUAACGAGGGAAUAAAACUGAAACUCGACCAUGUGCUCGACUUAGUUUUAAGGGUGGACAUGAAACUGAACGAAAACAGCAGCUUAACGGUGAUUUUACAAAACAGGGAGAAUAAAGAUGCAUAUUUUUUGCAUUAUAUUAAUAGUGACAUUGUUUUAACCGCUCAGGAUAGUAAUAUAUAUCAUGGACUCGGGUCAGUGCCAGAGUGGAGGAGGCUUAUAAGAGACUUACCAGUGGAUUUGCAAAAAGGGCUUAACUAUGGCAGCAAGGAGAAGUUGAAACAUAAGAUUCCCAAGUCGAAACUUAAGGUGAUCAACAUUAUUUUGAGGGGCUCUGGCUCUAUAGACAAUCUAACUCUAUCCACGUCAGAACAUAUCCAGCAAUUCUACGACGCAGCCGAUUGGUUCUUAAAGAACCAAGACCUGGAAACAGGCGGCUGGGGGAUCCCCGUAAAACGGAAACUAGCGCCCGCCUUUGCCGUUCUUGAACCUGGUUGGUAUUCUGCUAUGGGCCAGGGCCACGCCCUGUCCGUAUUAGCGAGGGCGUAUUUCCAUUCGGGGGGCGACAGGCGCUACUUGGACGCCGCCAUGAAUGGCCUGAAGCCCUUUAGGGUGACCAGUGCCGAGGGCGGAGUCUUGGCCACGUUUAUGAACAAGUACCACUGGUACGAGGAGUACCCUACCAAACCGGCCUCGUUCGUACUGAACGGGUUCAUUUAUUCCUUGUUGGGUCUGUAUGAUUUGAUGAGUAUCGCGCCGGUAGAUCAGUCACAGGAGGCGGAAUUCCUGUACAACGAGGGCCUGACCACCCUAAAAAGUAUGUUACCGUUAUUCGACAUGGGUAGCGGAACGGUUUACGAUUUACGUCACGUUACGUUGGGUAUAGCACCCAAUUUGGCACGUUGGGACUACCACGCCACCCACGUGAAUCAGCUGCUACUACUGGACACCAUCGAGGAGGAACCGUUAUUUAAGGUUACGGCGGAACGAUGGAUCGGGUAUAUGGUGGGCAAAAAGGCGGAUCAUAAUUGAGGUUUUUUAGUUGUUAAAAAGGGGGUUUCUCAGUAGCGGUGGCGGCUCGGGACUGUCCUUCAUUUAGUUGGCUCUAACUUGGAAAGUUAUUGAGCUACACGAAUUCUUUAUAUAUGAGAGUAUUCUCUAGGGAUUGCGUAAAGUUCCAGUGAAAUUUUGUAAAAAUCCCUCUAAGGGUUUUUGAGCUAUCAUGGAGAGAAGUUAAGUUAUUCUGAAAAGUUUCCUAUGAAAAAUGUCUGCACCAAAACUGCUUUAGUUUGGUCAGUUAUGACCUUAGAGGAACGUUUUUUAAAUGGAAUCCAUCCACAGGAAUCUCCCAAUACUCUCCUGAAAAAAUUAUGAAAAUACCUCAAAUAGUUUUUGAGUAGCACUUAAAAGUGACUUAAAUAGUUUGUUUUGGCUAAAAUUGGGUUCAGCUUUCAUAAAUGUGGCUCUAACUCAAAAAGUUUUUUAACUACAAAAAUUCUUUAUAUAUGAAAUUAUUCUUUAAGGAUUACUUUAAGUUCCAGUGAACAAUUUAUAAAAUUCCCUGGGAGGAUCUUUGAGUUAUCAUGGAUGAAAGUUAAAUUAUUCUGGAAAAAUGUCUAUUUUACCAAAACUGCUCUAAUUUGGUCAAUUUUGCCUUCAAAAGGACGUUUCCUGCAUGAGGUCCAUCCUCAAGAAUCCACGUAUGCUCUCCUAGAAAAAUUAUGAAAAUACCUCAAAUAGUUUUUGAGUGACACUCAAAAGCGUCUUCAAUGGUUUCUCUUGGGCUACAAUCGUUUUUUACAUAUAAAAUUGUUCUUGAAUAAUUAUUUUAAGAUCUAGUGAAUAUUUUAUGAAAAUGCCUAAAAGAGUUUAUGAGUUAUUAUGGAUAGAAGUUAAAUCAUUCUUAUUGAAAAUGUCUGCACUAAAAAUGCUCUAGCUCGGUCAAUUUUGCUCCUAAAAGAAUGUUUCUUACACGAAAUCCCUCCUCAGGAAUCCCCCUACACACUCCUGAAAAAAUUAUGAAAAUACCACAAAUAGUUUUUGAGUGACACUCAAAAGUGUCUUAAAUGGUCUGUUUUGGCCUCAGUUAGGUUUACUCUUCAUAAAUCGGGCACUAACUCGGAAAGUUCUUGGGCUACAAGAAUUUUUUAUAUAUGAAAGUAUUCUUUAGGGAUUGUGUUAAGUUCCAAUAAAAAUUUUAUAAAAAUCUCUGGGAGGGUUUUUGAGUUAUCAUGGAUAGAAGUUAAAUUAAUCGGAAAAAUUCCUAUGACAAAUGCCUGUACUAAAAUUGCUCUAGUUUGGUCAGUUUUGCCCCUAAAAUGAUGUUUCUUGUAUGAAGUUUAUCCUUAGGAAUCUUGUUACACUCUCCUGGAAAAAUUAUGAAAAUUCCUCAAAUAGUUUUUGAGUGACACUCAAAAGUGUCUCUUAAAGCCCCCUUAUGGUUCUUCUCCCAUAAACGUGGCUCUAACUGAAAAAGUUCUUGAGAUACCACAAUUCUUUAUAUAUGAAAUUAUUCUUUAAGCAUAACUUUAAGUUCCAGUGAAUAAUUUAUAAAAAUACCUGGAAGGAUUUCUGAGUUAUCAUGGAUAGAAGUUAAAUUAUUCAAAAAAAUUCCUAUGAAAAAUGCCUGUACUAAAAAUGCUCUAGUUUGGUCAGUUUUGCUCCUAAAAGAAUGUUUCUUACAUGAAAUCCAUCCUCAGGAAUCCCCCUACACACUCCUGAAAAAAUUAUGAAAAUACCACAAAUAGUUUUUGAGUGACACUCAAAAGUGUCUUAAAUGGUCUGUUUUGGCCUCAGUUAGGUUUACUCUUCAUAAAUCGGGCACUAACUCGGAAAGUUCUUGGGCUACAAGAAUUUUUUAUAUAUGAAAGUAUUCUUUAGGGAUUGUGUUAAGUUCCAAUAAAAAUUUUAUAAAAAUCUCUGGGAGGGUUUUUGAGUUAUCAUGGAUAGAAGUUAAAUUAAUCGGAAAAAUUCCUAUGACAAAUGCCUGUACUAAAAUUGCUCUAGUUUGGUCAGUUUUGCCCCUAAAAUGAUGUUUCUUGUAUGAAGUUUAUCCUUAGGAAUCUUGUUACACUCUCCUGGAAAAAUUAUGAAAAUUCCUCAAAUAGUUUUUGAGUGACACUCAAAAGUGUCUCUUAAAGCCCCCUUAUGGUUCUUCUCCCAUAAACGUGGCUCUAACUGAAAAAGUUCUUGAGAUACAACAAUUCUUUAUAUAUGAAAUUAUUCUUUAAGCAUAACUUUAAGUUCCAGUGAAUAAUUUAUAAAAAUACCUGGAAGGAUUUUUGAGUUAUCAUGGAUAGAAGUUAAAUUAUUCUAAAAAAUUCCUAUGAAAAAUGCCUGUACUAAAAAUGCUCUAGUUUGGUCAGUUUUGCUCCUAAAAGAAUGUUUCUUACAUGAAAUCCAUCCUCAGGAAUCCCCCUACACACUCCUGUAAAAAUUAUGAAAAUACCUCAAAUAGUUUUUGAGUAACACUCAAAAGUCCCCAUUUGGUCCUUCUCCCAUAAACGUGGCUCUAACUAAAAAAGUUCUUGAGAUCCAAGAAUUCUUCACGCAUAAACUUGCUUGUUAAGAACGCCCGUUUCCGAUAUAAAAGCCAUCCUCAGGAACCCCGAUAAAAAAAAAUCUUUGAACUGGGCCGCCACUCUACUCGAUUUGUUGUUAAUUUAUUUUCAUUGUUAACCGGUGCCGUUAUACAUUCCAUUUUAGUCCUAAUUAGUAUUAGUCCGUUUUUAAGUUUUAAAAUGAUUAUUAGACCAUAAGUUAGAUUACUACUUACAAACUGGGUUAGUACAGCGCCCCCCCUUCUGUCUCGUCACUGUACUAACUCUGUUGAACGUGGACACAUCCGACUACUACAUACAUAUCCGGUGACAUUUUCAAAAAAAAGGUUUCGCGGCUAAAGACUGAAAUUCGUUGUUCAACAUUGGACCAAAACAAGCGCAUAACGUCAAUAUUGGUCAUCUCAAAUAAGCUCGACAAUGUUUUCUAGUUAAUAAUAUUUAAACAAUGAGUCAAUAAUAAUUAUUAGUGGGAUCGUUUAAAAGGGGUUUGUUGAAAGAUUACUGUACAUAAAAUACUUCUUGUAAAUAUAUUUAUGUAGUAUUACGUACUGAUCAUGUUAUAGAGAGAGAAUUGCACUGAGUUUCAUGCAAUUGAGUAUUUUUUGCACCAGUCAAUCAUUCCCUCGAGAGCUUACUUAUUAUAAGAAACCAUGACUUGCCGUCUCCGUUUUUUUUUUUUUAAUCAUCAAUGUUCCUUGUUUCUGGCAAUAUUUAAGUACUUAAUUUACGUUUUAACUUAUUGUAAAUAUUAUAGUAAACCCGUCCUAUAAAGCAGCGCACGUAGUUACUGUAAGUGCAAUUUAUUACGUUCCGUUAUUAUUAUUAUUAUCGCGAUAAUCUCAACUGAAAUCUUACUUAAGGAUUUUAAGUGACUGUGACAAUAAAUUUAGGACAAUUUAAUCGAAA
rnacentral:misc_RNA from 1 species